rnacentral:misc_RNA from 1 species
AACGGAGAGGGCGAGCGUUAUUCGUAGUGAUUGGGCGUAAAGGGCGCGUAGACGGUAGAAAAAAAAGUUCCCAGAAAAAGACCAUAGCCACACUGUGGAAAUUUGGGAAAACUAAUCGUACUAGAGUUAAGUGGAGGUUAGCAGUAUUUUUGGGCGAGGUGUGAAAUCUGCGGACCCCAAGGAGACUACCAAGCGAAGGCAGCUAACUAUAUUUAACUGACGUUGAGGCGCGGAGGCAUGGGGAGCGAAUGGG